rnacentral:lncRNA from 1 species
UUUUCCUAGUGUUUCCCACUUCUUCGGAUUGUGUCGUCCGCAUAGGGUCCGGAAAGAACUGUUCGUUACAAUUGUAUUCAUUCUGCAUUGACAGCUGUUUGCAACUUUACCAAUCAUCUAAUUGUGACAGUCACGGUUCUGCGCGGGGUCGUGCCCCCCGCCGCCCGUUCUGUCCACCACACCUGGGGCGCGAACCCGGGUCUCCGGCGUAACGCAACAGGGCACCAACCGCAUGAGCUAAAGGAGACCUCCCUCAGCCCAGGCAGCUGAGGAUCCUGCUUCGCGCAGUGAGGGCGCUGUCACCACGCUAGCUCUG